CCUACGGGUGGCAGCAGUGGGGAAUAUUGGACAAUGGGCGAAAGCCUGAUCCAGCCAUGCCGCGUGUGUGAAGAAGGCCUUCGGGUUGUAAAGCACUUUCAGUGGGGAAGAAAGCCUUGGGGCUAAUACCCUCGAGGAAGGACAUCACCCACAGAAGAAGCACCGGCUAACUCCGUGCCAGCAGCCGCGGUAAUACGGAGGGUGCCAGCGUUAAUCGGAAUUACUGGGCGUAAAGCGCGCGUAGGCGGUCUGAUAAGCCGGUUGUGAAAGCCCCGGGCUCAACCUGGGAACGGCAUCCGGAACUGUCAGGCUAGAGUGCAGGCGAGGAAGGUAGAAUUCCCGGUGUAGCAGUGAAAUGCGUAGAGAUCGGGAGGAAUACCAGUGGCGAAGGCGGCCUUCUGGACUGACACUGACGCUGAGGUGCGAAAGCGUGGGUAGCAAACAGGAUUAGAUACCCCUGUAGUC
rnacentral:rRNA from 1 species